rnacentral:rRNA from 1 species
UGGGGAAUAUUGCACAAUGGGCGCAAGCCUGAUGCAGCCAUGCCGCGUGUGUGAAGAAGGCCUUCGGGUUGUAAAGCACUUUCAGCGAGGAGGAAGGUGGUGAGCUUAAUACGCUCAUCAAUUGACGUUACUCGCAGAAGAAGCACCGGCUAACUCCGUGCCAGCAGCCGCGGUAAUACGGAGGGUGCAAGCGUUAAUCGGAAUUACUGGGCGUAAAGCGCACGCAGGCGGUUUGUUAAGUCAGAUGUGAAAUCCCCGGGCUCAACCUGGGAACUGCAUUUGAAACUGGCAAGCUAGAGUCUCGUAGAGGGGGGUAGAAUUCCAGGUGUAGCGGUGAAAUGCGUAGAGAUCUGGAGGAAUACCGGUGGCGAAGGCGGCCCCCCUGGACGAAGACUGACGCUCAGGUGCGAAAGCGUGGGGCAGCAAACAGGAUUAGAUACCCUGGUAGUCCAGCGCUGUAAACGAUGUCGAUUUGGAGGUUGUGCCCUUGAGGCGUGGCUUCCGGAGCUAACGCGUUAAAUCGACCGCCUGGGGAGUACGGCCGCAAGGUUAAAACUCAAAGGAAUUGAC